ACGGCGGCCUAACAGUCACUUGGCUGGAGAGAGUCAGCAGCGAACAUGCUGCGCGGCUUUCCCAGGCCUCGAGGCCGCAGCCUCAGGACCCCGCCCAGGGAAUGCACUUGGGGAUGAGUGAGAGGAUGGAUCACUGAGUCCAGACGCUCCAGGCCACUGGCCAGGAACCUUCCUGCCCUCGUGGGCAGCACAGGGCAGGUCUCACCAGACCCAGCGACCACUGGCCCUGAGAUGAGAGGGAAUCCAGGGCAGGUCUCCCUAGGUCUGACCACCAGACCGUUGGAGCAACUGAAGAUUGGAAAUCAGGCGGCCCAGAGCCUGGCAGAGGUCUGCACAGUGAGGACAGCACAGGCAGGCGUGCCGCACACCCUGACAGAGCCCCCGGAGGAGGCCUUCCUGGACAGCUGGCCCAUCGAUGGGCCCUCCUUCCCAUGCCCCAGAGGGGCCUGCAUUUCCUCCCCACAGGAGGGGAUGGUCGGAAGCUCCGUGUCCUCUGUGCUUGGCUCCUUGCCAGAGCUGCACUCCCAGGAGAAUCCCCCAGCUGAACUCCUGGCCCAGUGAGAGCAUGCUGAGCCCACUGAGGCAGAGCCCAAAGCUGCAGGAGCAGCUCCAGCCCAAGCUGAAGUCCCAGCUGCAGAGCCUGUGCCAGCUCUACCUGCAGCUCCCUCCCCAGCUCUGCCACCGCAGCCAGAGCCAGCACCAGGAACUCCUCCUCCAGCUGCACAGCUGAUGCUGCCGCUGGUGGCUCCUCAGCAGGUCUCAGCUCCUGACCUCCCACUGGAGCCAGCUCCUGCCCCACCACAGCCGUUCCCCUCCCAGGCAGAUUUACUUAUUAUUGCCUUUAUUGUUGCCCUUAUUUCCCAGAGGUAUGUCAAUGCUAGAAUUAAUUAUAAUAUAAUUUAAGAUUUUAGUGUUGUUUAAAACAAUCAGCUUGGUGGCAUGAAGUGCCUUCGCAGUGUUGUGCACCCGUCACCACUGUCCAGGUUCAGAGCAUUUUCCUCAGUGCUGUAUCCGUGAGUGGUUUCUCCCCUCUCCCCUGCUGCUAGUUCCUGGCCACCACUCAUUUUAUGUCCCUGCAAUUUAUCUACUGUACAUUUUUCACUUCAGGGUAAUCAGAUUUUUCUAUGGCCACAGAAUCUUGGAAGGGACAGAUGAAAAAAUGCUAGACAGAGCCCACUGCUUUCUCAUUCAUAUAUUCAGUAGAAUAGCCAGUAAUUCUUUUCAGACAAGAAGUACUUAUUACAGUGAAAUAUGGAAUCCAAUACGAAUGAAUAAUAUCAGGACCUAGUGACCCAGGGAUCGUGGCUUCCCCCUGAGGUGCUCCCCUUCCUGUGUGCAUCUCAGGAUUCAGGCUGUGUCUCACAUGGUGGGUGAGGGUGUGUCAGGCCACAGCUCCCCUGUCAUCUCAUGUACACACUGGGGACAUGGCCCCACCAUGCUCCAUUCCUCGACACAUUCAGUGGCCAUGAUGCCAUAUUUGUCUCAGCAAACUCUGCUCUAGACAGUUUCCAAAUUUUCCUGCCCAUUUCAGAGCUGAAAGGAACAUCUGCAUCUGUAGCUCUCACUUUUUAAGAUGGAAUCCUGACAGUGGAGCCUCUGAGUCACAGUCACAGAAGCGGAGGUGGCGACAGGGUCACUUCCAUGCGGGGGAGCAGGGAGAACAGGUGGAGCACACAGUUCCCUGGGCACAGAACUCCAGGGUGACCUCUAGGAAAUGCAGCUCUUCUGGCUUUCAGGGGGAACUUGGUGAUAGCAAAUCCCUGCUGACAUUGCCACAGGGAGGAACAGGACAGCACA